rnacentral:rRNA from 1 species
AGAGUUUGAUCCUGGCUCAGGACGAACGCUGGCGGCGUGCUUAACACAUGCAAGUCGAACGAGAAUCUACUGAAAGAGUUUUCGGACAAUGGAUGUAGAGGAAAGUGGCGGACGGGUGAGUAACGCGUGAGGAACCUGCCUUGAAGAGGGGGACAACAGUUGGAAACGACUGCUAAUACCGCAUGACGCAUAGAGGUCGCAUGAUCUUUAUGCCAAAGAUUUAUCGCUUCAAGAUGGCCUCGCGUCUGAUUAGCUGGUUGGCGGGGUAACGGCCCACCAAGGCGACGAUCAGUAGCCGGACUGAGAGGUUGAACGGCCACAUUGGGACUGAGAUACGGCCCAGACUCCUACGGGAGGCAGCAGUGGGGAAUAUUGGGCAAUGGGCGCAAGCCUGACCCAGCAACGCCGCGUGAAGGAAGAAGGCUUUCGGGUUGUAAACUUCUUUUAAGAGGGAAGAGCAGAAGACGGUACCUCUAGAAUAAGCCACGGCUAACUACGUGCCAGCAGCCGCGGUAAUACGUAGGUGGCAAGCGUUGUCCGGAUUUACUGGGUGUAAAGGGCGUGCAGCCGGGUCUGCAAGUCAGAUGUGAAAUCCAUGGGCUCAACCCAUGAACUGCAUUUGAAACUGUAGAUCUUGAGUGUCGGAGGGGCAAUCGGAAUUCCUAGUGUAGCGGUGAAAUGCGUAGAUAUUAGGAGGAACACCAGUGGCGAAGGCGGAUUGCUGGACGAUAACUGACGGUGAGGCGCGAAAGUGUGGGGAGCAAACAGGAUUAGAUACCCUGGUAGUCCACACUGUAAACGAUGAAUACUAGGUGUGCGGGGACUGACCCCCUGCGUGCCGCAGUAAACACAAUAAGUAUUCCACCUGGGGAGUACGAUCGCAAGGUUGAAACUCAAAGGAAUUGACGGGGGCCCGCACAAGCGGUGGAUUAUGUGGUUUAAUUCGAAGCAACGCGAAGAACCUUACCAGGGUUUGACAUCCUGCUAACGAAGUAGAGAUACAUUAGGUGCCCUUCGGGGAAAGCAGAGACAGGUGGUGCAUGGUUGUCGUCAGCUCGUGUCGUGAGAUGUUGGGUUAAGUCCCGCAACGAGCGCAACC